UUUUAUAUGCCGUCGAAGAGAGGUCCUUGGGGUCGAGUACAGUGUCGCACGGGUAAGUGACACGCAGGUGACCCGCCUAUUAGCGGGGGAUACCACGAAGAAAUUCGUGCUAAUACCGCAUACGCAAAGUAAAUUUGGAAGUAACUUUGGAAAGAAUGCCUCUCCUUGGAAGCAUUUACUAAUAGAUGGGCCUGCGUAACAUUAGCUUGGUGGUGGGGUAACGGCCUACCAUGGCGACGAUGCUUAACUGGUCUGAGAGGAUGAUCAGUCACACUGGAACUGACACACGGUCCAGACUCCUACGGGAGGCAGCAGUGGGGAAUAUUGCGCACUGGGCGAAAGCCUGACGCAGCAAUGCCGCGUGAGUGAGGAAGGCCUUCGGGUUGUAAAGCUCUGUCAUAUGGAAAGAAUGGUUGUUGCUCUAACAGGGCAGCAAUUUGACGGUACCAUAAAAGGAAGCACCGGCUAACUUCGUGCCCGCAGCCGCGGUAAUACGAAGGGUGCAAGCGUUGUUCGGAUUUAUUGGGCGUAAAGCGCGCGCAGGCGGAUUAUUAAGCCAGAUGUGAAAUCUCGGGGCUCAACCCCGAAACUGCGUCUGGAACUGGUAAUCUAGAAUCUUGGAGGGGGAAGCGGAAUUUGCAUGUAGAGGUAAAAUCCGUAGAGAUACGAAGGAACACCAGAGCCGAAGGGGGCUUCCCUUUCAAGUAUAGACGCUGAGACGCGAAAGCGUGGGCGAGCAAACAGGAUUAGAUUCCGUGGUAGUCCACGCCGUAAACGAUGUGCAUUAGAUAUUGGAGACCCCCACCUCAUCAGUGUCGUAGCUAACGCAUUAAGUGCACCGCCUGGGGAGUACGGUCGCAAGACUAAAACUCAAAUGAAUUGACGGGGUCCCGCACAAGCGCUGGAAUAUGUAACAUAAUUCGAAGCAACGCGCAGAACCUUACCUAGGCUAGAAAUCCCGAGAAGAUCGCCCGAAAUGGUUUCUUCUCUUCGGAGAACUCGGUGACAGACAUCCCAUGUUUGUAGUCAGCUCAUGUCUUGAGAUAUUGGGUUAAGUCUAGCAACGAGCCCAACCCCCAUCUUUAGUUGCCAGCAUUAAGUUGGGCACUCUAGAGAGACUGCCUGGGUUGUCCAGGAGGAAGGUGAGGAUCAGUGCAAGUGAUCAUGGCCCUCAUGUAUAGGGGUACACCCGUAAUACAAUGGUGCAUUCAAAACGAAAAGCUAAUGUUACACAUAGCAAAUCUCAAAAAGUGCAUUUCAGUCAGAAGCGGACUUUGCAACUCGACUCCAAGAAUUAGGAAGCGUGUGUAGUAGUAGCACAGCAGCCUCCGGCGAAUCCCUUCCUGGGCUGAUACACACCGCGUGUCUCAGCAUGGGCGCAAUUGUACUUGUAACGGUGGACUAUUGUACCUUAGUUAGGGC
rnacentral:rRNA from 1 species